GCACACGUGGCCGAGUGGUUGGCGAGAGAUUAGAAAUCUCUUGGGUACUACCUUCGCAAGUUCGAAUCUUGCCGUGUGCG
rnacentral:tRNA from 1 species